UGGCUCAGGAUGAACGCUAGCUACAGGCUUAACACAUGCAAGUCGAGGGGCAGCACGGGGUAUGGCUUGCCAUUCCCUGGUGGCGACCGGCGCACGGGUGAGUAACGCGUAUCCAACCUGCCCGCAACCGCGGAAUAGCCCGCCGAAAGGCGGAUUAAUGCCGCAUGAGCUCGCGUGGGGGCAUCUGCCCGCGAGCAAAGGUUCACUCCGGUUGCGGAUGGGGAUGCGUCCGAUUAGGCAGCAGGGCGGGGCAACGGCCCACCUGGCCUACGAUCGGUAGGGGUUCUGAGAGGAAGGUCCCCCCACAUUGGAACUGAGACACGGUCCAAACUCCUACGGGAGGCAGCAGUGAGGAAUAUUGGUCAAUGGGCGCGAGCCUGAACCAGCCAAGUAGCGUGAAGGAUGACAGCCCUACGGGUUGUAAACUUCUUUUGCGAGGGAAUAACGUGGUCCACUAGUGGGCUAUUGCAUGUACCUUUCGAAUAAGCAUCGGCUAAUUCCGUGCC
rnacentral:rRNA from 1 species